ACUCCUACGGGAGGCAGCAGUGGGGAAUAUUGCACAAUGGGGGAAACCCUGAUGCAGCCAUGCCGCGUGUGUGAAGAAGGCCUUCGGGUUGUAAAGCACUUUCAGUAGGGAGGAAGGUAGUGUAGUUAACACCUGCAUUAUUUGUACGUUACCUACAGAAGAAGCACCGGCUAACUCCGUGCCAGCAGCCGCGGUAAUACGGAGGGUGCGAGCGUUAAUCGGAAUUACUGGGCGUAAAGCGCAUGCAGGCGGCCUGUUAAGUCAGAUGUGAAAGCCCGGGGCGUUAACCUCGGAAUUGCAUUUGAAACUGGCAGGCUAGAGUCUUGUAGAGGGGGUUAGAAUUUCAGGUGUAGCGGUGAAAUGCGUAGAGAUCUGAAGGAAUACCGAGUGGCGAA
rnacentral:rRNA from 1 species